rnacentral:rRNA from 1 species
GGAUGAGCCCGCGGCCUAUCAGGUAGUUGGUGGGGUAAUGGCCUACCAAGGCGACGACGGGUAGCCGGCCUGAGAGGGUGACCGGCCACACUGGGACUGAGACACGGCCCAGACUCCUACGGGAGGCAGCAGUGGGGAAUAUUGGACAAUGGGCGAAAGCCUGAUCCAGCGACGCCGCGUGAGGGAUGACGGCCUUCGGGUUGUAAACCUCUUUCAGCAGGGAAGAAGCGCAAGUGACGGUACCUGCAGAAGAAGCACCGGCUAACUACGUGCCAGCAGCCGCGGCCG